CACAAGCUCCCAUUGGUCCAUUUCCUUCUGAGCCGGAAGCACGCAACAUUCUCAUUGGUUGUGCUACCCGUCACUCAAAAGGUGGUCGUCGUUAGGCGGGAUAAGAGCGACGUUCGGUUGAGGAACAAUAAAUGCGGCCUAGCUGAGCUCAUUUGACUGACGGCAGCCCUGCAGAGACCAACCUUGCCGCUCGCCAAUGGCUCCAUCUGUCUGCGGCCCUGCAAGAAGGAUAUUGGCGUUUCACCGUACUGGCUCUCUGCGUGACCCAUGCUGCACUGCGAGGUGCACGCCAACGCCAGCUCUGCUGGACGGAAGAGUUUUGCUUUCUGGAACAUUGCAGGAAGAAGGCAAAGAACGUCUUCGCAACUCCAACCAAAUCCCUUCUCUCACCAUUACACUCAUUUGGCUUCCAGCUUGCUCACAAGGGGAAGACCAAGAACCCAGAGAAGGUGGAGUAUUUCCAGCCUCCCAUGAGGUUCCCCCUCUCAAGUCGAAGGUAAGCCUUGUCCCCUUUCUCCAUGAUCACCAGACCAGCAUUUGUGGCGGCUUCCCUGGUCACAUCCUGGUCCCCGGCGAAAGCGGAAAUCAUCGGCCAGCCGUUCACCAUCAAGCUGACCUGGAGGAAAUCAGUCCAUGCUGAAGCUCAGCAGCUACAUGACAGCUGAGAGCGACUUACCUGAAUGGUCUGUCUGUUGUAAGCUUUCACAACAUGAAAGUUAAAGCUGUAAACACCUCUCCUCGGUGCAAGGAAGAUGCUGCUCUCUUGAUCAAAAUGACUGCCCACAUUCACCAAGAUCUGAAAGGAAGGGUCAGAAAACACUGCCUGACUUGUCUUAACAAGUUACAAAAUAUUACACAUAUUCAGUGAGAAAAAAAAAAAAAUCAUAAAAUAUCACAGUUAAUCAACAACCUGUAACAUUUUAGGAAAUAAACCUUGUCAAUAAAA